GGGUUAGUCUUGUACGACCAGCUCCUGUUGAAUCCCCCAGGAUCGGAAGAUAGCAAGGGUAGACGGUUGUAGCGGUGCGAUGCAAGUAGCUAACCCGUU
rnacentral:SRP_RNA from 1 species